UUGUAGGUGGUUUUCAGAGUUUAUUGGAGGCCUUCUCCCGUCUUUCUUUUCAGUGUUUAUCUGAAUCUUCCUUUGGUCUCUGGUUUCCUCGUGGCUUCGUUUGAAGCAAUAGAAAGAGGUUGAGGCAUGGAGGCUUUCCAGAUUAAGGUGCGGUUGAGUAUAUGGUGCUCUGGCGGGUGUUGUUACAUCCUGGUUUUAUGUCUUCACUUCGUUGAAGUGGUGUGGGUGUUAUCAUUAUGAACAGGUGGUUCAAAUGAAGUUCUGCUCUCCAUAAAGAAGUCCUCUACGUUGCUUGCUCUCUCUUGUUCAGUUCGUUGCCAAGAGUUCCGGCUAGUUUUAGUUCAUUAAAGCUCUGUUCUUUUAUCAUUGAUAGCUGGGUUUGUGUUUUGUAAA
rnacentral:lncRNA from 1 species